AGUGAACGCUGGCGGCAGGCCUAACACAUGCAAGUCGAGCGGCAGCGCAGGGGCAACCCUGGCGGCGGGCGGCGGACGGGCGAGGGAUUGGUCGGAACCUCCCUAUCUGCGGGGGAUAAGGUGGGGAAGCUUAGGCACAUACGGCAUUCGCGCUACGGGCGUAAGGGGGGGAGCGCAGGACCUCCGGCACAAAGACGAGCCAAUGAGCCGAUGGCGGAUUGGCGGGUUGGUGGGGUAAAGGCCCACCAAGGCGACGAUGGGUAGCUGGUCUGAGAGGAUGAUCAGCCACACUGGGACUGAGACACGGCCCAGACUCCUACGGGAGGCAGCAGUGGGGAAUAUUGGACAAUGGGCGCAAGCCUGAUCCAGCCAUGCCGCGUGUGUGAAGAAGGCCUUCGGGUUGUAAAGCACUUUUGUCCGGAAAGAAAUCCCUGGGGCUAAUACCUUCGGGGGAUGACGGUACCGGAAGAAUAAGCACCGGCUAACUUCGUG
rnacentral:rRNA from 1 species